CUGUUAAAUUAAAGUUAAGCCUAUAUAUUCUCGCAAUACGGGCGAGAGUCUCUACCCUGAACCGUAAAUUCAGGACUAUAAGCAGCCAAAAAGUCGUC
rfam:Lactobacillus mucosae LM1, complete genome.